CAUAAAAUAACACCAAAAGUAAUAAUAAUAAUAACCCACAAUGAGCCCAAUAUUUUACAAACAGUAUCUUUCCAAAAGUAGGCAUAAAGACCGGUUUUAGUAAUAAGGUUUAGUGAUUUAAAGUGAAGAGGUAAUCUAUUCCAUGAUUUUAUGCAUUGGUUUGUGAAUUAUUGACGUACAUAACUAAGUAAUGAUUGAGAAUAUAUAAUUUAAGGUUACUAAACGACGGAAGAUAAUAACAAGAACUUUUUAUAGCAGUAAAGAAAUAAUAGAUUGAGUGAGGUAGGUUAACUUGUUUCCAGACAAAUAGACAAUUUAAUAGAUGAACAAGAGCACACAAUUUGAUGAUUUUGGAUAGAAGAAAAGUAUAUUGCUGAUUUAAUAGUUUUAUUGUUCCAAUUGGUCAUAUGGUUCAUUGUUAUUAAAGUUACACAUGUUAGAAAAUCAUUUUAUUCGAUUUAUAAAAAAAUAGUCUUCUUAAAUCACACAAUCAAAAACUAACCCUAUAAACAGAAAGCUUAAACCAACCUUGAGAAAAAGAAUAUAUUGCAAUAAAAAUUUUUAAAAAAGAAAGUCUAAAUAAUGUAAAAAUUUAUAUGUAAGAGAUUAAAUAUUAUACAAAA
rnacentral:lncRNA from 1 species